rnacentral:ncRNA from 1 species
UAAAGGUUUGGUCCUAGCCUUACUGUUAAUUAUAAUUAAACCUACACAUGCAAGUUUCCGCUGCCCAGUGAGAAUGCCCUCAAAAUUAUCCAAAAAUCAACAGGAGCAGGCAUCAGGCACACCAUAGGUAGCCCAUCACGCCUUGCUUAACCACACCCCACGGGAUACAGCAGUGAUUAACAUUAAGCCAUAAACGAAAGUUUGACUAAAUCAUAAUUAUUAGGGUUGGUAAAUUUCGUGCCAGCCACCGCGGCCAUACGAUUAACCCAAAUUAACAGAAAAACGGCGUAAAGUGUGUUUAAGCACUAACAACCAAUAAAGCUAAAAUUCAACUAAACUGUAAUACGCUAUAGUUGUCACCAAAAUACACAACGAAAGUGGCUUUAACUAUGCUGAAGACACUAUAGCUAAGAAACAAACUGGGAUUAGAGACCCCACUAUGCUUAGCCCUAAACCAAGAUAAUUCAAUAACAAUAUUAUUCGCCAGAGAACUACUAGCCAGCGCUUAAAACUCAAAGGACUUGGCGGUGCCCUAAACCCACCUAGAGGAGCCUGUUCUAUAAUCGAUAAACCCCGAUAAACCUCACCCAUUCUUGCCAAUACAGCCUAUAUACCGCCAUCGUCAGCUCACCCCAUAGGGGAAAAAAGUAAGCAAGAUCAUAAUCCAUAAAAACGUUAGGUCAAGGUGUAGCAUAUGAAUGGGAAAGAAAUGGGCUACAUUUUCUAAAUUAGAACAUAACGAACUACCUUAUGAAACCUAAGAUACUGAAGGAGGAUUUAGUAGUAAAUUAAGAAUAGAGAGCUUAAUUGAAACAGGCAAUAGGACGCGCACACACCGCCCGUCACCCUCCUCAAUUAAAACCUAAAAUAUAAAUAAUAAAACUCAAACAAAAAGAGGAGAAAAGUCGUAACAUGGUAAGUGUACUGGAAGGUGCACUUGGAAUAU